CGUAGGUGGCAAGCGUUGUCCGGAUUUAUUGGGUUUAAAGGGUGCGUAGGCGGUUUUCUAAGUCAGCAGUGAAAUACGGCAGCUCAACUGUCGAGGUGCUGUUGAUACUGGGGAACUUGAGUACUGAUGAGGUAGGCGGAAUGGACGGUGUAGCGGUGAAAUGCUUAGAGAUCGUCCAGAACACCGAUAGCGAAGGCAGCUUACUAAGGAGUAACUGACGCUGAGGCACGAAAGUGUGGGGAUCAAACAGGAUUAGAUACCCUGGUAGUCCACACUGUAAACGAUGAUUACUCGAUGUGUGCGAUACACGGCACGCGUCUUAGCAAAAGCGAUAAGUAAUCCACCUGGGGGAGUACGCCGGCAACGGUG
rnacentral:rRNA from 1 species